AUCCAAAAUGGGUUACAGAGAUCGAAGACAGCAUAUUAAGCGUUUAAUCGCGCCCAAGCAUUGGAUGCUGGCAAAUCUCGAAGGUGUCUUUUCACCCCGACCCAGCACCGGAUCCCACUAAGUGAGCGAGUAGAGAAAGAGUGAGACGUCUCGUGUA